rnacentral:rRNA from 1 species
AUUGAACGCUGGCGGCAGGCCUAACACAUGCAAGUAGAGCGCGAGGCGGACGGGGGAGUAACGUAUGGGGACCUCCCCGAACGCGGGGGGAAACUACUGGAAACGGGAGCUAAUACCGCAAAUUGUCGGAUGUACCCAUAUGGGAUUAUCUAGUAGGGGAGGUAAUGGCUCACCUAGGCGACGAUCCCUAGCUGGUCUGAGAGGAUGAACAGCCCCACUGGGACUGAGACACGGCCCAGACUCCUACGGUAGGCAGCAGUGGGGAAUAUUGCACAAUGGGCGCAAGCCUGAUGCAGCCAUGCCGCGUGUAUGAAGAAGGCCCUAGGGUUGUAAAGUACUUUUGGCAGAGAAGCGGUAUCUGCAGAAUAAGCACCGGCUAACUACGUGCCAGCAGCCGCGGUAAUAC